rnacentral:rRNA from 1 species
UUGGCCUUGACAUACUAAGAACUUUCCAGAGAUGGAUUGGUGCCUUCGGGAACUUAGAUACAGGUGCUGCAUGGCUGUCGUCAGCUCGUGUCGUGAGAUGUUGGGUUAACGUCCGCAACGAGCGCAACCCUUUUCCUUAUUUGCCAGCGGGUAAUGCCGGGAACUUUAAGGAUACUGCCAGUGACAAACUGGAGGAAGGCGGGGACGACGUCAAGUCAUCAUGGCCCUUACGGCCAGGGCUACACACGUGCUACAAUGGUCGGUACAAAGGGUUGCUACCUCGCGAGAGGAUGCUAAUCUCAAAAAGCCGAUCGUAGUCCGGAUCGCAGUCUGCAACUCGACUGCGUGAAGUCGGAAUCGCUAGUAAUCGCGGAUCAGAAUGCCGCGGUGAAUACGUUCCCGGGCCUUGUACACACCGCCCGUCACACCAUGGGAGUUUGUUGCACCAGAAGUAGGUAGUCUAACCGCAAGGAGGACGCUUACCACGGUGUGGCCGAUGACUGGGGUGAAGUCGUAACAAGGUAGGCGUAGAUGA